rnacentral:rRNA from 1 species
AUAUCAAUAAGCGGAGGAAAAGAAACCAACAGGGAUUGCCUUAGUAACGGCGAGUGAAGCGGCAACAGCUCAAAUUUGAAAUCUGGCUUCUCCGAAGUCCGAGUUGUAAUUUGUAGAGGAUGUUUCGGUUCUGGCUCUGGUCUAAGUUCCUUGGAACAGGAUGUCAUAGAGGGUGAGAACCCCGUAUGUGACUGGAAGCCGGCAACCAUGUGAAACUCCUUCGACGAGUCGAGUUGUUUGGGAAUGCAGCUCAAAAUGGGUGGUAAAUUUCAUCUAAAGCUAAAUACUGGCCAGAGACCGAUAGCGCACAAGUAGAGUGAUCGAAAGAUGAAAAGUACUUUGGAAAGAGAGUUAAACAGUAC